rnacentral:rRNA from 1 species
ACAUACCUACAACAUAGCGUUAAUGCAUCGUAUCCCAUUAGAAAUCCACAGUUAAGCAUGCUUAGGAUAGAGUAGUAUUGGGAUGGGUGACCGCCCGGGAAGUCCUAGUAAUUUACAUGCC